rnacentral:misc_RNA from 1 species
AAACCAUCAAGCAUUGCUUGGUCUUGGGCGAGGUCUCGCGACCUGUCCGCAACCCGUUGGCGGUACUGUCCGGCUUCAAGCGUAGCAAGUUUUACCCUCGCUUUAGAAGCUCGUGGCGGUGCCCGCCAGGUAACUACCGUCUAAA